UAAGGUUAAUUAAAACAAAAUCAAAACUUGAGUUUUGUUGUUAUACGCAGUUGGUAGGGUCAGAAUUUGGCAUGAACAACACAACACAACAAGGAUCCAUGUUGCCUUGUAUCAAGUUUUCAGUGUGCACGUCUUCUGAUGGCUGCUUCCAGCAGGAUAACAAGCCAUUGCUGAUUGGUUGCAGAAGGCUCACUUGCAUGCAUCCUGAUAAACUGGCACAUGCCUCGGCUCUCUGUCCCUCGCUGGCAUUAUUCCGUGGCUUUUGGGGUUAGUUCAGUGACAUCAAGACAAGCUCACCUGGAGAUGACGCGACUGAAGCAGAUCUCAGCCUGGACCAGUCGUCCCAGAUUUCUUAAGCACAGACCCUUCAGCAGCUGGACGACACACUCAUCGCCCGUGUGGUACUCUGAUGGGUCUGCACAUCACACAGUAAACUUUGACAGGAUUCCUUCAGUCAGCUCAGGUCUUUUGCCCACUAUUGUGAAGCCAUUCCACACAUACAUCAUUUCCUGCGGUAACAGAUGAUUGUUGCUUACAAAUGCAAAAAUAAAAGACACAUCAGUUCACUGGGAGAACG